UGUCAGUGUUUUAAUACAACAACAACCAAGUUAUGAAAAUAUAUAGUCAGCGAAAUAAUUAAAAAAUCUGAAAUUAUCUCCAAAAUAUCCUGCUCAUAUACUUAAGCCACCUCAAAAAAAAUGGUUAAAAAAGAUGACCUUUCUGCUUAAGAAAAGUGGAGCAACGCCUUGGUAUUGAGUCUACAGGACGUGCCCACUGUUGAGGGGUGAUUUUCCUUCAUUCUUCCUGUACAUAGAAGGAAAAACCACAGAUCUAACCGAACUUAGAAGAAUUUGAAUAGCACAGAAGCCUAAAUUUCAUAUUGUUUCUCGAUGGAAGAGUUUCUCGAUGAAUCUCUUUGUAAUCUUUUAUUACUUUCCCAUCGAAAAUUUAUUCGCUGCUCCCCCCUGGCCUGGGGUUUUCUUCGCUAUCGACAAUCGGAAGCCCUUGCCGUUUGACAGGUGUCAAGUGUGUCUUGCCUGACUGAUGCCCUGGCAAUUAAAUGCGGUAAAUAAACGGCUGCCCUGCCGUUUUAUGGGUCUUUUAUUAACUCAAUAAGAAAAUCGUAUGCAAAUUUUUAUGGGUUUUCCAUUAGCGCUUGACCCCGGCAGGCCCCGACGACA
rnacentral:sRNA from 1 species